rnacentral:lncRNA from 1 species
AAAUCCAGAGAAGUCUGAACUCUUUAUCUUAAUGUACUCUAAUAGUAUUUCUAUUUGCUGUCUCUUGGAAGUAUCUGGGAAUAUCUGAAUUAGGAAAACAUUCUUUUGCCAUAAGGUGAUGUCUUGGGUGUUGUUGGUGAUUAGGUGGUCUUACUUAGUGAUCCUACUCUAAUUUUAGAUAAACAGGACAGACAACUUCUGCUUGGGUCUUUAACACCCAUUCAACAUACCCGCUUUUUUAAAUUGCUGUAAUUUUUGGUUUGUCUGGUUUUGUUUUUGUUUUUUUAUUUAAUAAUGGACAGAACAAGUGGAGGACCUUGGUUCUGAGUCAUUACUGUGGUGUAAUCAUGGACAUUUCAGGUCAAGUUAUUUCCUUGACAGAUAGCUUCUCUCAUGAGGCUGUUUAGUUCACUUAUUAUUUCAAAUUUUUAAAAAGUGAUCUGAUUAAAGCUGUGUGACAUGGUGAGAAUUCUUCCUCCCUCUUUCUCUUUGUUUCCUUUCCUUCCUCCCUUCAUUCCUUUCCAUUCCUACUUAUUAAUGCUAUCCUGCUUGGACUUUUUAUAAAUAAAUCAACAUAUUAUGAUCCUUACAGAAUUAUGAUCAUAUAAGGGAAGAAUUGUAUCACAAAAUAUAUGCAGCAUCCAUAAAUCCUUUUAAAAGAGCAUAUUUUCCAGAUUGUGUUUAUUCAUAAAGUGAGGUGAGAUAAUAGAGUCUUUCAGUUUUAUUUUAAUGAGUUUUCUUCAGGGACUCAGAUCAUAGAGUUCUUGGCAAAUUCAUUUAUUACUGUCCUACUUUUCUCAGCUAUAAGCAAAGUGAUCUUUCUCAGACUAGGUUAAGAUUUUUUUUUUUUAAAUCCAAAGCAUUUUGACCAAGAAAACAAUCAUGUUUUUAAAUGGUAGCAUGUUAUUUUAGAUCAAUGAAAUUUGAGAAUUUUCCUUAUAGCAGGGAAAAACUAUUAUCUUUCUAGAAUUUUUACACAUAUCAGCACUUUUCCAAUGACAAUAUUAAAUACUAAUGCUUGAAUCACAGUAUUUUGCAGGAGUAGGUCAGCAACAGAGCUUUUCCCUAAAGCACAGAUUACCAGCCCUUUAGUCUGUUUAUAAAAAGCAACAUGAGAAGAACAAUCUGGGUCUUUCUGUAAAGCAUUAUCUUAAAAUUUGGAUCUGAGAUUUUUUUUUUCUUUUGUCUUUUGUCUUUUGUCUUUUUUAGGGCCCCACCCGUUGCAUAUGGAGAUUUCCAGGCUAAGGGUCCAGUUGCUAAUCCCUGAAGCCGCUGGCCUGCGCCACAGCCACAGCAGUGCCAGAUCUGAGCCACAUCUGUGACCUACUCCACAGCUCACACCAAUGCUGGAUCCUUAACCCACUGAACAAGGCCAGGGAUCGAACCCAUGUCCUCAUGGAUGCUUCUUGGGUUUGCUAACCGCUGAGCCACAACAGAAACUCCCUGGAUCUGAGAUUCUUUUGAACUCUGGCUAAUAUUGACCAGAACAUGCCCUCUGUGUCAUUUUAUGUAAAGUCUCUUUGGAAAAAGCUUACAAUUCUAGGAAUGUAUUUCCAUUUUUGGUUUCACCCUUACUCCCACUUUCUAUAAAUUGACCUUGAUUUUCCUUUUUUCAGAGGGUCACCUAUACAGAAGGUAAAAGCAUACCUAAUACAAACAUAAUUCAAUACAUAAAUGAAUUUGCCCAGAAUUAAUGAUAAUCUCAAUGAGUGUGUUGUUUUGAUAUGUAGGCAGAGGGGUUUUGGGGUUUUUUUUGUUUGUUUGUUUGUUCGUUUUUUAACCUGUCUCCAAGAAGAGUGGGAUUCAGGAGGGGAAGAAGGAAUGUGAAAGACAGGGCAGGUCAUAAUUCAAACAAUGACAAGAGAGCUCUUGUAUAGUAUAACUCUGAGAAUUUUCAUAGGGGUUUUAGGGAUUAGCAACUGUAGUUGUUUAAACAAGUGAAACAUUCAUAGCUUCAAGUUUAUGAGGUGUUUAAAAAUCGCUAUGACUAACAAUGUAUUUUUCCCUUGUCAGAAGAGUCAACUGAGACUAGCUUCCAGGCCCCAUGGCAUAGCCAUAAGCAGCUCAGACUUUUAUAAUGCAUGUCCUUUCAUCCCUCUCUGAGAAGGCCAUACCUCACACUCUCUCUGACAGAUGGCAAUGCAUGUUCUUCUAUAUUCUUAGCCUCUUUGACUGUGAUUCAUUUUGUACAUCACUUGCUUUCCAUAUGGUCCUCUUGAGAAAGAGAACAUCUCUCAAAUAUGAUGCCAACAAGAGUAUGACAACCAUGUAGUUCAGUCUCAAUCAAAUUUCCAUCUGGACUAAAACUCUGAAGGUUGAAAAUUGUGUUUUAUUCACCCCGCAUGCAUUGAGAUAGGCCUGUGAAGAACCCUUUUCUACUCUGUGCUGUAAUACAGGCACAGGGAGGAAUCCCUUCAAACAUGGACAAACUCUGCCCGCUGAUAGGACUUCAUCUUGGCCCUAACCAGACGCAAAUGUAUGAUGUCAGGCCAACCCAAACCAUCCCAUUGUUUUCAAGUGUGAAGCAUAUGGAAGAUCCUUCAGCCAAAGACUGAAUUCAAGCAGGAGCUGUGACCGACACCACAGGUGCAGCAAUACCCGGUCCUCAACCCACUCUGCCAUAGCGGGAACUCUUAGCCAUGGAGUUCUGCUCUUUGCAAAACAAGUCCUCACACCUUGAGGCUGCCAGCAGUCUCUUCCACCUCCUUAUAGACUAUUCUGUGUAGUCCUGCCUUCUGGGAAACAAGCAGCUAUUGCAGAGAGUAAAGAGAUUCCCAGCCUGUCCCAUGUGGAUGAGACUACUAGACGCAGGUUGAUAAUGACUUCGGUUAGAGAGAAAAUGGAGAAGUGAGCAGCUCCAGAGCUCUGGAAGUGUCUUCAAAGAGGGGAAAGGAGAGGAAAAACACACAUCAAUUGUGCCUUGGGAAGCUCAGAAGACACCCUUCUUCCUGCUGGAGUGUGGCAGAUUCUGGAGAAUCAAAAUGGUCUAACCCAAGCCUUUCUGUUCCAGUACUCCCCCCACUCAUUCUCUCCUUCCAAAACAUUGGACUGUAUCAGCCCGUGCCUCACCCAAGCUUCCCAGGCUGCAGGCCCCAUUAGUGUCUACUCAGCUCCUCUCUCCCGCAGCCAGUCUGGUGGCAGGAGGGGCCAACUGUCCUCUGCUACAUUCCGAGAAAGCCUGUGAUCCUUGGGCAAAGAAAGAUCGCCCCUAUCUGAGAUUUUGCUCCUUUCUCUGCAAGAAGCUGGACGCCUUCAUAGGCAGGCACGGUGCCCCUCGGAAAAUCAACCGAAGCCCCUGCCAGCUGUAGGACUCUCUUUCCUCAGGGUGUGAGUCACUUCUAUGACCUCUGAGUUUCCACCAGGUUCAGGGUCAAAGGAAAAGCCAGUACCCACAGGGCCUUUUGGCUCCCUGGGAAUUGUAGGAUGAAGGAUUCAUUAUAAGGCGAGAUGAUUGCCUUUUUCUUUUCAACUGUGAUUGGUGGCCCAGAAACCACAGCCAUCAAAUACACAGGCUCUGCUAAAUCAUCACUAUUUCAGCUACUAAUUAGGACUAAUGUUCACAGCAGAGGAGUCUGCGGGGGCAAUAAACCCCUCCUUCAAGUGGUUAAACUUGCAAGCAGACACACUUUGAUGACCACAAGAGCUGUUCCUUGGGAAGGGUGCUCCCUGGUAACAGCAUCCCCAAAACACGGCUCCAUGAAUGGAGGAUCAGUAGCCUAGAAAUCUGGGUGUCCAAGGCACCCUGUGUCCCCUGGCCAGACCCCUGUUCUGCCACCAGUUCUAUCAAGAUGUCUUCGGCAGCCACGUCCACAACAAAGUGAAUGGCAGGUUCCUUGGGUCAGGGUCAGCUGCAGGAUGACACUGCCCAAAGGCUCGGGCUGUGAAGGGAGAAUGACUAGAAGCACAGCUGGGGAGACAGUCACCUGCUGCUUCUGGGGUUUAGAGUUCCCUGCCCCUGGGCCCCCAGUUAAAGGAGUGAGUUUAGAGAAAGGCACCACGGUGCUGAGGACACAUGGGCCAUGGUGCUAAAUACUUUCACGUGAGUUGUCUCAUAGCAGACAUAGAGGUAUUUGGGUGUUCCCUUCAGUGGUUUGUGAGGUUUCGGGUUCAAUCCCUGGCCUCGCUCAGUGGGUUAAGGAUCCAGUGUUGCUGUGAGCUGUGGUGUAGGUCGCAGACGCAGCUCAGAUCCUGCAGCUGUGGUGUAGGCCGGCAGCUACAGCUCCAAUUAGAUCUCUAGCCUGGAAACUUCUAUAUGGCCCUAAAAAUCCCUCCCCUCCCCCCAAAAAGAAAAGAAAUAGAGGUAUUUGCUCCAGAUCUUUUUUAGAAGUAUUCUCUUCACGUAUUUUGCAAAAACAAAGAAAAACUACACAGGAACUACAUGCUCACUGUAGACCAAGUGAAAAAUAAAAGCAAGCAAGCAAGAAAGUUUAUUAUUCCAUAAGCCCAUCACCCAGAGGAGGGUUUCUCGACCUUAGCUCGGCUGACAUAGCUAACAGUGCUCUGCUGCGGGGGCAGCCUGUGCAUUGCAGGAUGUUUAGCAGCAUCCCUGGCCUCUUCUGCCCACAAGAUGCCAGUAACACACUAUCUCCCCAGCCCUGCAAUUGGAACAACAAAUAGGUCACCAGGCAUUGCCCUAUACCCGCAACCGCAAAAUUACUCUCAUUAAAAACUGAAACUCUAGAGAUAAUCAGUAAUGCCAUUUUCCAGCCCUUUUUCCUUGCCUAUAAACAAGUGAUACAUAUUUUAAUGGAGUUGAAUAUAUUGUUUUGUAUUUUCAUUUUUCACUUAAGCAAAGAUCUUGAACAUUGGCCCAUGUUGAUAUCUGUUCUGCAAUAGCCUCUCAAACCCUUCAUUGUGCUCCACUGCAAAUUGUAACAUGAUGUCUUUCAUCCUCGGUAUUAUUUCCAAGGAUAGUAAGAAUAUUAAAGGAAAAACCAAAUUAUUGUCCCUCUUUUGGCUUCUAAAAUGGGAAGCAGUUGGAAUAAUGCAUAUGUAUGGGGACAAAAAUCUUUCUAUUGUGACUUUCCAUUUAUAGCCACCACUGGGGAGCAAGAAAGGGAGAGAAAUUUCAAGUUAAGACUCUGCUAUGCUGUUAGUGGGUAAGAUACCAAGUAGAGUCCAUUCAUAAGCCUCUGGUUAGUGUGGGUUGGGAACUGAGGAACAGAGAGCCAGAUGAAUUUGAAACAUAUAAGGGAAGGGACAUAGCCUGGGAGUGGGUAGUUGAAGAGGAGGCCAAGAAUGAGGGAUCCUGGAAAAGAGAGAGGAGAGUUGAUGGAAAGAGGCUUAGAAUGGGGUGGGAUGGGGUUGGGGUAUGUGCUGAGAAAGGUAUUUAGUUGUCUGCUCAACAUCAAACCUUUCCCUGUCCAAACCCUUAGGAAAACCUGACCACACGCCUUGCUGUGUCCUCUUUGCCAAGGUACAUGGGGGAAUGAAAGGCAUUUGGGGUGGAUUUUAUUAUGCAGAAAAGGGGCAGUGGGGGCAGAUGUAAAAUACAGAUCAGGGAUGGAGAAUGAAAUAGAUUUUGUAGGCAGAGUCAAUUCGGAAAAUGAGAACCGUCAGAAACAUUGGGAUCAGGGUUACAGGGUUUUCCCUGCACAUGAGAUGAGCACCUGAGACAACUUGUUUAAAUAUUUAAGGCCAAAGUGACCUCAGCAGAGAAAGGACUUAAGGAAUAUCCAGUCUCAGCAGACACUUAAAUUACAUUCCUUUUUUUUUUUUUGCUCUCACAAAUAGUACACAGAAUACCAUUAUAGGAGUUCCCAUUGUUGGCACAAUGGAAAAGAACCUGACUAGUAUCCAUGAGGACUCGGGUUCAAUUCCUAGCCUCACUUGGUGGCUUAAGGAUCUGGCAUUUCCGUGAGCUGUGGCAGCAGAUGAGGCUUAGAUCUGGCUUUGCUGUGGCUGUGGUGUAGGCCAGCAACUGCAGCUCCGAUUUGACCCCUAUCCUGGGAGUUUCCAUAUGCCCCAGGUGCAAGC